AUUUUAAAAGCCCACGUCUAGGUUUUCAAGUGAGCUCUUUCCCCACUGGAAUUAGAGAUUUAGUUAUCAACGCUGAAGGACAAUUAUAUGUAGAGAUGGUCAGUUGGAUCAGUUUACUCAAGUUCUGAGUGACUGUUUUCCCAUGUUUCAAAAAUUUAUUCCACCAAGCUAACCAACAUAAGCUAUGCAAGCAAAUUAAACUUGCUACCCAAGGGAUGACAUAUAAACUGGAGAGACUGCCUAAUUCAUACACCGUUUAAAACAGAACCACUGCUGAUAGCUGUAAUUAGUUCCAUAGCAACCCUUCCUCCUGCUGCUGCAAGACUGAGGCUGCUAGUCCAACUCCUAUAACAGGAGAUAUAAAACUAUAUUUGAAAGAAUACUACUGAACAGAACCACACAUUAUAUGGGAUGUGCACCAAGAUAUGAUGUGGAAAGAACAUGAAGAGUCCUUUGUCAAUGCAGUUCAUAACUGUGCUAGCACAAGUCUAUGUACUCCUUCUUGAUUAA